GAUGAACGCUGGCGGCGUGCCUAACACAUGCAAGUCGAACGGAGUGGCGGACGGGUGAGUAAUGCGUGAGCAACCCGCCCUUCAGAGGGGGACAACAGUUGGAAACGACUGCUAAUACCGCAUACUGAUGGAUGGGCUCACGUCUGAUUAGCUAGUUGGUGAGGUAACGGCUCACCAAGGCGCGAUCAGUAGCCGGACUGAGAGGUUGAACGGCCACAUUGGGACUGAGAUACGGCCCAGACUCCUACGGGAGGCAGCAGUGGGGAAUAUUGGGCAAUGGGCGAAAGCCUGACCCAGCAACGCCGCGUGAAGGAAGUAGGCCUUCGGGUUGUAAACUUCUUUUAAGAGGGACGCGGUACCUCUUGAAUAAGCCACGGCUAACUACGUGCCAGCAGCCGCGGUAAUACGUAGGUGGCGAGCGUUAUCCGGAUUUACUGGGUGUAAAGGGCGCGUAGGCGGGAAUGCAAGUCAGAUGUGAAAUCCAAGGGCUCAACCCUUGAACUGCAUUUGAAACUGUAUUUCUUGAGUGUCGGAGAGGUUGACGGAAUUCCUAGUGUAGCGGUGAAAUGCGUAGAUAUUAGGAGGAACACCAGUGGCGAAGGCGGUCAACUGGACGAUAACUGACGCUGAGGCGCGAAAGCGUGGGGAGCAAACAGGAUUAGAUACCCUGGUAGUCCGCGCCGUAAGCGAUGAAUACUAGGUGUGGGGCCGUGCCGCAGUUAACACAAUAAGUAUUCC
rnacentral:rRNA from 1 species